UACGGGGGAGCAAGCGUUGUUCGGAUUUACUGGGCGUAAAGGGCGCGUAGGCGGUCGUGACAAGUCACUUGUGAAAUCUCCGGGCUUAACUCGGAACGGUCAAGUGAUACUGUCGGACUAGAGUACAGAAGGGGCAACUGGAAUUCUCGGUGUAGCGGUGAAAUGCGUAGAUAUCGAGAGGACACCUGCGGCGAAGGCGGGUUGCUGGGCUGAUACUGACGCUGAGGCGACGAAAGCCAGGGGAGCGAACGGG
rnacentral:rRNA from 1 species